GUCGCCCAGUCCCCCAUCCCGCCGGAUUCCAGACCUGAGGCUGAGGAGGCUGGUGUCCGCGCACCCCCGAGACCUCGCCGGACUACGCCAAGCCUCUUAGAGGACGUAGGAGCUCCUGAAGGUCUCCCACGCUCCAACCCACGGCCUCCGCUCGUCCUGCCCACCCGCCCCGAGUGCUCCAGUCGGCGGUGCUGACCUCGCAGCUCUUCCGCCCCAUAAGCUUGGCUCUGCGCGCUGUCCAACAGCGCCCUCUGGUGGGCGUUCCGGGGAGAUGCAGCACCUGCAACCUCCUUCAGAGGACUGGAGCUUCAUCAGCUGCAUGAGCAGAGCUGCAAGUGCCUGGGAGUUUAUGCCCUGACCCCAGCCCCCAAGCAGCCUGAAGCCAAUGAUGUCUUGUGCAGGAGUAGGAAAGCUCAGCUCCCUCAAGCGAGGACAAGCUCUAAGGUGCAACCCACACUCUGAAGCCCUCCACAGGAUUAGGCUGAGGCUGAGACUUCACUGGAAAUCCCAUCCUUCCCUGGCUUCUGCCCCUUCCCUGGCCUGCUUCCCCCACUCCCUAGUUCUCCUGGAAGUCCUUCCCCAAUAAAUUAUCAGCAUGCGGAUGAUUGGGGUCUGCUUUAGGAAAUGCUGACCUAAGAUGGGUACCAUAAAUUAAAAGGGGCAGCUGGGCACAGUGGCUCACGCCUAUAAUCUGCCAAGGCCGGCGGAUCACUUGAGCUCGGGAUUUCGAGACCAGCCUGGCCAACAUGGUGAAAUCCCAUCUCUACUAAAAAUACAAAAAUGAGCCGGGCAUGGUGGUGCACACCUGUAGUCCCAGCUACUCAGGAGGCUGAGGCAGGAGAAUUGCUUGAACCUAGGAGGUGGAGGCUGCAGUGAGUCAAGAUUGUGCCACUGCACUCCAGCCUAGAUGAUAGAGACUCUGUCUCCAAAAAAAAAAGGUGUGGGGUAGCAUUGAGCGACUGAGCGUCCAGGCCAGUGAGGACUUUGGUCAUCAGGCUGAGUGAGUAGACAAGCCUGGAAGGAGUUUGUCCUAGAAAGAGAAGACCGAGAAGGUGAUUGGCCAUUUUCUGCAACAUCUGAAGGGUCCACCUGUGAGAGAGCGGGCGGAACAGUGUGGGGUCACUUCAGAAGUCAGAACUGCCCUUUGAGAGGGCAGAUGGAACAGUGUGGGGUCGAUCCAGAAGCCAGAACUGCCCUGUGCUGGUUAAUUUCAUGUGUCAACAUGGCUAGGCUAUGGUGCCAGUUGUUUGAUCAAACACUGGUCUAGAUGUUGCUGUGAAAGUAUUUUUUUAGAUGUGAUUAACAUUUAAAUCAGUAGACUUUGACUGAAGUAGCUUAUUCCCCAUAACUUGCUGGGCCUCGUUCAAUCAAGUGAAGCUUUAAGAGAAAAGACUGAGAUCCCCCAAAGAGAAAGAGAUUCUGCCUCCAGGUUGCUUUUGGACUUAAGACAGCAAAGUCAACUCAUGUUGGAAUUUCCACAGCCCCAAAAUUGUGUGAGUCAAUUCUGUGAAAUAAAUCUCUUUCUGUCUGUCUGUCUCUCUCUCUCUCUCUCUCUCUCUCUCUCUAUAUAUAUAUAUAUAUACACACACACAUAUACACAUACACACACACACACAUAGACACACACACAUACACAGAUACACACCCUAUUGGUGGUUCUGUUUCUCUGGAACACCCUAACACAUGCCCUAAACUGGGGCCGGCUUCAGGUUGGUAGCAGCCAGCAGGGUUCACCACAGGAGCCUGUCAAGUCAGGGCAGUGUAGACACUGAAUGGGAGUAGGGGAGAAUAGGGACCCACACCCAAGGGACAUGCAAGUCAGCAGCAGGAACACAUCCUAAAGGCUCACUGAGGACGGCCCUGCCGCCCUAAGCCCUAGCUGAGCAGCUGAGCAGAGGCCGUGGGGCAGUGGAGCAGGGGGACCAACCCCAGAGCCUUUCCUGGUACCUCUACAGAGAAGUGUGUUGACAUGCCUGGCACCUGCCAAGUGGGGUGAGACUGGAGUUCCUCAUCAGCUCCACUGGGGACUCUGAGCCUGAGACCAAUGUUCUCAUCUCCCCGACUCCCA
rnacentral:lncRNA from 1 species